UACGGAGGGAGCUAGCGUUGUUCGGAAUUACUGGGCGUAAAGCGCGCGUAGGCGGCUUUGUAAGUUAGAGGUGAAAGCCCGGAGCUCAACUCCGGAACUGCCUUUAAAACUGCAUCGCUUGAAUCCAGGAGAGGUGAGUGGAAUUCCGAGUGUAGAGGUGAAAUUCGUAGAUAUUCGGAAGAACACCAGUGGCGAAGGCGACUUACUGGACACGUAUUGACGCUGAGGUGCGAAAGCGUGGGGAGCAAACAGG
rnacentral:rRNA from 1 species